ACAGCCGGGCAUUUCGUCGCUCGCCGCAAUGGCGGCGUGAGGAAAGUCCGGGCAACACAGAGCACCAUAUUUCCUAACGGGAAGCUAUCGGCAACGGUAGAGUAGUGUGACAGAAAACAACCGCUUCGUUUUAUAUGGAGUAAGGGUGAAAAGGCGAGGUAAGAGCUCACCGGGCAGCAUAGCAAUAUGCUGCGCCGCACACCUUAUGGGUUGCAAGGCCAAGUAUACCGGCAUUCAAGGGUUGCUCGCCCAUUGCCGGGGGGUAGGCUGCUAAAGCCGUGUGGCGACAUACGGCUCAGAUAAAUGACGAAACGUGGGGCGAUCCGUUCGUCCUGCCGACAUAACCCGGCUUAUCGUCCGGCUGUCUUU
rnacentral:RNase_P_RNA from 1 species